GAUGAACGCUGGCGGCGUGCCUAAUACAUGCAAGUCGAGCGAACGGACGAGAAGCUUGCUUUUCUGAUGUUAGCGGCGGACGGGUGAGUAACACGUGGAUAACCUACCUAUAAGACUGGGAUAACUUCGGGAAACCGGAGCUAAUACCGGAUAAUAUUUUGAACCGCAUGGUUCAAAAGUGAAAGACGGUCUUGCUGUCACUUAUAGAUGGAUCCGCGCUGCAUUAGCUAGUUGGUAAGGUAACGGCUUACCAAGGCAACGAUGCAUAGCCGACCUGAGAGGGUGAUCGGCCACACUGGAACUGAGACACGGUCCAGACUCCUAAGGGAGGCAGCAGUAGGGAAUCUUCCGCAAUGGGGGAAAGCCUGACGGAGCAACGCCGCGUGAGUGAUGAAGGUCUUCGGAUCGUAAAACUCUGUUAUUAGGGAAGAACAUAUGUGUAAGUAACUGUGCACAUCUUGACGGUACCUAAUCAGAAAGCCACGGCUAACUACGUG
rnacentral:rRNA from 1 species